GACGAACGCUGGCGGCGUGCUUAACACAUGCAAGUCGAACGGAAAGGCCCUGCUUUUGUGGGGUGCUCGAGUGGCGAACGGGUGAGUAACACGUGAGUAACCUGCCCUUGACUUUGGGAUAACUUCAGGAAACUGGGGCUAAUACCGGAUAGGAGCUCCUGCUGCAUGGUUGGGGUUGGAAAGUUUCGGCGGUUGGGGAUGGACUCGCGGCUUAUCAGCUUGUUGGUGGGGUAGUGGCUUACCAAGGCUUUGACGGGUAGCCGGCCUGAGAGGGUGACCGGCCACAUUGGGACUGAGCUACGGCCCAGACUCCUACGGGAGACAGCAGUGGGGAAUAUUGCACGAUGGGCGGAAGCCUGAUGCAGCAACGCCGCGUGCGGGAUGACGGCCUUCGGGUUGUAAACCGCUUUCGCCUGUGACGAAGCGUGAGUGACGGUAAUGGGUAAAGAAGCACCGGCUAACUACGUG
rnacentral:rRNA from 1 species